rnacentral:tRNA from 90 species
GACUUAAAAUCCGUCGACUUUAGAAAUCGUGAGG